UUUCGUUCUCCUCUAGAACCUUCAUCUCCACUCCUUAAACUCAUCAUCUUUUGCCUUGAAUCAAGAAGAAACUCAAAGAUCUCUUUCCUCCUCUCUUGAAAAGAGUCUUUUCUUAAGAUUUUGAGAAGCUUUGAGGAGGUGAGGCUAUGGCCAAGGGUGAAGGAUCGGUGGAGGAUUAACACCGGAGUUGUAUAGCUCGCCAAGUUUAUGAUAUUCAGUCAUGAUGGAGAUGGAAUUACUGGAUUUCACUGAUGAUGAGUGGGCAAAUGCUAUAUCUAUCAAUGAAUUUCUUAAUCCAAGAUGGAACAUUCCAAACAAUGGCAACAAUUUUGUUGCGCCAACAAUUGGAGAGGUUGUUCUUAAGUCUCGAGGCAUGUUUACAGAUGAUCACUGGCAUUGGAUUUCUAUUGGAGCUCUCAUGGGGUCCUCUUUUAUUUUCAAGAUUUGUUUUUAUUGCACUAUAAAAUUUAAAUUGUAAG